CUAGGACGCAGGAUGCCUGCCAACACGAGUCUUUGCCUGCUAGUGGUUGUUGUGAGAGGGAAGGUAUUGAGCUAUAUUCCAUGAAGCCUUCUCCAUGGAACCAUGCAAAACCAGAAGAAAAACAGCAGCUGUGAAAACCAACAGCCUAGUGACAACUGGGUCUGGGUGGACAAAUGGUGUGCAGAUCACGUCUGAAGCACUCCCAGAAGCCCUGGUACCAGAGUGAUGUCCAUAUUUGAUAAAUAUGACUGCUGUCUGGAAAAGUACCUUUUUAGGGGCUUAUCUUUAUUUGACCUGACUCAAAGUUGAAAGAAUUCAGUGGCUAUGGUUUACUAUCAGAGGAAUAUAAGACUGGGAUAAUCGUUUAAAGAAUUAAAAGGUUUGCCUAAAAUUAAAAAAAAAAAAUUUGAAAAAUAGUGUUGAAAAGUUUUGACAUAGUCCUUGAGAUCCAAAAGUCUGUGAAAGACCUAUAAUAUUCUAAUGUUAAAUAUUUGGUUAUCUUUGGUGUUCUAUAUAAGUACAAAGUUAAAAAUAAGGAAGAGAUACAAGUACCAAAACACUGAAAUAAUUUCUCAGCACGCACUCAUGGGUGCUCUUGGCAAGGACCAUGAGAUUUGUUUUUUCAAUACUUGAAGUGACUCUUUGUCCAAACAUUAGAUGACAAUUACUCUGACCAAAAAGCUGGAAUCAGUGCCUGCAUAUAAAAAUAAUGCAUAGUUUACAAAAUUAUUCCAUGAAAAUUGCUAUUAACAUAGCCACAGCAGCACAUACUGAGAUUAGGAAAUAGAUUUUCUGACUUAGAUGAUUAUAUUAUUUAAAACGUCUAGCUUUCAACUAUAAUUGAUAAGAAAUGCAAGAAAACGAUGGCCCAUGUACAGAGAGAUGGAGCAACAGCAACAACAAAUGAAACUUAUUCACAAAGAAACCAAAGCAACAGUGCACAGAAAUUGAGGAAGCCCAAAUGUUGAACUUGUGAGACAACAACUUUAUAUAAGUCAUAUUGAGUUUAGAAAAAAGUAAAGCAAACCAUGACUGAAGAACCAAAAAUGUAUGAGAAUGAUCUCCAUAUGGAGUAAUAAUAAAGUGACUGAAAGCAAUAUAAAGUCAUAGAUAGCGAUUUGAGAGUUAAAAAUAUCACCAAUAUGAAAAACCCACUACAUUGAUUCUACCUGAACUGGCAGAAAAUCAGAAUUCAGAAAAAUGAUCCAAAGGAAACUGACCAUUUUCUCUACCAGGAAAAAGAAAUGAAGAAAAAUUAGCAGUUUAACAACAUAUGUAUACAGCAGUCUCAGAAAGACAGACAAUCUGGAAUUCACAUCAUUACUUGUGUUUUGAAACAUUUAUAAUAGAUAUUCUUGCUGGAGUAAGAUGUGACUGUGGUGUUAUUUUGUUUUGCAUUUCUCUAAUGGUCAAAUAUGCUGAACAUUUUUCAGAUACUUACUGGGCAUUUGUAGUUCUUCUCUUGUGAAGUAUCUGUUCAUUUCAAUUGACUUUUUGUUUGUUUGUUUGUUUGUUUUAGAGAUUUUUUUGUUAGCUUUUUUUUCUUUAACAAACCCUAGAUAUUAGUUCUUUGUCUACGGAAUAACUGACAAAAAAAAAAAUUCCCCUUCUGUAGAUUGUUGGUUUACUCUGUUGGUUGUUUCAUUUGUAGUGAAGAUUUAAAUUAGGUAUAAAAAUUUCCAAAGAUGAAGGAGUGAAGGGAGGGGAAGGGGAAAGGAAAAGAGCAAAAGGAAAAACUAUGAGAAAAGAAAAAAUAAUUGGAAGUGAAAUCUAUGUAAAUAGGGAAGGGCGGAGGGGGUGAAGGGUGCACAGGUAAUGGGGGAAAAAAAAUAAGAACUAAGAUAUAUCAUGUACAGGCACAAGCACCCAAUGAUAAAUGUAAACGAAUUAUAUAUCUAAAAUGUACCAAUAAAAGAACUAAAAAAAAUAAAAAAUAAAAAUAAAUAAAUUAGGUAUAAUUUUUUUUGCUGAUUUGUGGUACAUAUUUUUGUUCAAUUAGGGUUCUGUCCAGAAAGUUCUGCCUACAUCUAUGUCUUCAAGAAUUUUAUUCAGUUUUUUCUUCCACUAGUUUCAGUAUUUCUAUUUUAAAAGUAGGUCUAUGGUCCAUUUCCAGAUGAUUUUAGUACUGGGAGAUAUGGAUUUAGUUUCAUUCUUCUGCAUGCACUCUCUGCAGUCCUCAUGUGUCAACAAGGCUUUCUCUGACAUAUAUUAUUGGCCCCUUUGUCAAAAAAAUCAAAAGAAUUAGAGUGCUUGGCACUAUUGCUAUAUCUUCUAUUUUAUUGCAUUGGUCAACAUGUCUUUUUAAAAAUUACUUCCAUGCUGUUUUUAUUACUGUAGUUUUGCAAUAUGUAUUGUUUAGUGCAUUUGUAUUUAUAGUUGCUAUCAUUUCCUACUGAAUUGUUCCCUUUAUCAGUAGGUAGCAACCUUUAUUUCUUCUGAGAAGUUUUGGCUUCAAGUCUAUUUUGUUUGAAAAUAGAAUACAGCAGAUAGUCCUACUUGCUUUUGGGCUCCUGUUGUAUGGAUUAUCGUUUAUAUGAAUUGUUUUCCUGGAAAUUGAGUUCUUUCCCUAGACUUAAAAUAUUCUGAAUGAUUUUGAUAAUUUUUAUAACAUCUGUGUCAUCUUCUAGUCUUUCUUUAUUUCCUAUAAUUCUUAGGUUAGUUUUUUUUUUUUUUUUUAGUCAUUUCUCAGCUGUUACAUCCUGCUUCCUUGGUUUCUUGUUUUUAAAAUAUCAUUGAGUGCAAGACAUAAACCAAAAAGAUUCAUACAAAAAAGAAAAGAAAGACAAUAACUCAAAUUUUUUUUUCCAUGAACUAAGAUAAACUAGUAGCAAAAUAAUAUGUCAGGCCAAGUAACUAGUUUGAAGAUAACAAUGAGCAGUAUAGUAACUUUUGUUAUUUUCCUUUAUUUGAUUAUAAUUUUUUCAUUGUUUCAUAAAAUAAAAGAUAAAAUUUUCAAGUAGAAAAUAUAUCAUUUUAAAGAUGUAAUAUGGUGCUGAAUUUUUAUUUACCUACUUAUUAGAAUGGGGAGGACAAUAAACGAUCAGGAGUAACAUUUUGGUAUAUGUUCAAAGGUAUGAAAAGGAAGCUUGGAGAAUAUCAGACAUCAAUACACAAUACAAUUAAGUACUGCAAAAAGUAUCACUGACUACAGGAUCUCCUGCAUAAAUCUUGUCUUCUGUUUCUGAUAUUCUGUCCUCAUAUUGGU
rnacentral:lncRNA from 1 species